GAUGAACGCUGGCGGCGUGCCUAAUACAUGCAAGUCGAGCGAACAGACGAGGAGCUUGCUCCUCUGACGUUAGCGGCGGACGGGUGAGUAACACGUGGAUAACCUACCUAUAAGACUGGGAUAACUUCGGGAAACCGGAGCUAAUACCGGAUAAUAUAUUGAACCGCAUGGUUCAAUAGUGAAAGACGGUUUUGCUGUCACUUAUAGAUGGAUCCGCGCCGCAUUAGCUAGUUGGUAAGGUAACGGCUUACCAAGGCAACGAUGCGUAGCCGACCUGAGAGGGUGAUCGGCCACACUGGAACUGAGACACGGUCCAGACUCCUACGGGAGGCAGCAGUAGGGAAUCUUGCGCAAUGGGCGAAAGCCUGACGGAGCAACGCCGCGUGAGUGAAGAAGGUCUUCGGGUCGUAAAACUCUGUUAUUAGGGAAGAAAAAAAGUGGAAGUAACUAUGCACGUCUUGACGGUACCUAAUCAGAAAGCCACGGCUAACUACGUG
rnacentral:rRNA from 1 species